rnacentral:rRNA from 1 species
GACGAACGCUGGCGGCGUGCUUAACACAUGCAAGUCGAACGGUGAAGCGCCUUCCUUUUUGGUUGGUGUGGAUGAGUGGCGAACGGGUGAGUAACACGUGAGUAACCUGCCCCCUUCUUCUGGAUAACCGCAUGAAAGUGUGGCUAAUACGGGAUAUUCUGGGUCUGUCGCAUGAUGGGUCUGUGAAAGAUAUUGUUUCUGUGGGGGAUGGUCUCGCGGCCUAUCAGCUUGUUGGGGGGGUGAUGGCCUACCAAGGCGGUGACGGGUAGCCGGCCUGAGAGGGUAGACGGUCAGAGAGGGAGUGAGACACGGCUGAGACUCCGACAGGAGGCAGCAGUGGGGAGUAGUGAACAAUGGGCGAAAGCCUGAAGCAGCGACGCGGCGGGAGGGAUGGAGGCCUGCGGGUUGUGAACCUCUUUGGGCAGUGAAGCAGGCCUGCCUCGUUUGUGGGUGGGUUGACGGUAGCUGGAUAAGAAGCGCCGGCUAACUACGUG